rnacentral:rRNA from 1 species
AGGAAUAUUGGGCAAUGCCCGAAAGGGUGACCCAGCAACGCCGCGUGGAGGAUGAAGGUCGUAAGAUUGUAAACUCCUGUUAGAGGGGAAGAAUAACUAAGUUUGGAGCUUAGUAUGACUGUACCCUCAGAGAAAGCCCCGGCUAACUACGUGCCAGCAGCCGCGGUAAUACGUAGGGGGCAAGCGUUGUCCGGAUUUACUGGGUGUAAAGGGCGCGCAGGCGGAAUGGAAAGUCAGUGGUGAAAUCCUACAGCUUAACUGUAGAACUGCCUUUGAUACUUUCAUUCUUGAGUUCGGGAGAGAGAGACGGAAUUCCUGGUGUAGUGGUGAAAUACGUAGAUAUCUGGAAGAACACCAGUUGCGAAGGCGGUCUCUUGGUCCGAUACUGACGCUGAGGCGCGAAAGCGUGGGGAGCAAACA